GGGUUGUGAGGUUAAGCGACUAAGCGUACACGGUGGAUGCCCUGGCAGUCAGAGGCGAUGAAGGGCGUGCUAAUCUGCGAUAAGCGCCGGUAAGGUGAUAUGAACCGUUAUAACCGGCGAUACCCGAAUGGGGAAACCCAGUGUGACUCGUCACACUAUCAUUAACUGAAUCCAUAGGUUAAUGAGGCGAACCGGGGGAACUGAAACAUCUAAGUACCCCGAGGAAAAGAAAUCAACCGAGAUUCCCCCAGUAGCGGCGAGCGAACGGGGAGGAGCCCAGAGCCUGAAUCAGCAUGUGUGUUAGUGGAAGCGUCUGGAAAGGCGCGCGAUACAGGGUGACAGCCCCGUACACAAAAGCGCAUGUGCUGUGAGCUCGAUGAGUAGGGCGGGACACGUGGUAUCCUGUCUGAAUAUGGGGGGACCAUCCUCCAAGGCUAAAUACUCCUGACUGACCGAUAGUGAACCAGUACCGUGAGGGAAAGGCGAAAAGAACCCCGGCGAGGGGAGUGAAAAAGAACCUGAAACCGUGUACGUACAAGCAGUGGGAGCCCCACCACUAAGCCAGUGGUGAACUCCACAUACGCAUCCUUUGCUGAGGAUACGGUUAACGGAGCGAAAGCGACGUUCAAC
rnacentral:rRNA from 1 species